GAUGAACGCUGGCGGCGUGCCUAAUACAUGCAAGUCGAGCGAACGGACGAGAAGCUUGCUUCUCUGAUGUUAGCGGCGGACGGGUGAGUAACACGGAUAACCUACCUAUAAGACUGGGAUAACUUCGGGAAACCGGAGCUAAUACCGGAUAAUAUUUUGAACCGCAUGGUUCAAAAGUGAAAGACGGUCUUGCUGUCACUUAUAGAUGGAUCCGCGCUGCAUUAGCUAGUUGGUAAGGUAACGGCUUACCAAGGCAACGAUGCAUAGCCGACCUGAGAGGGUGAUCGGCCACACUGGAACUGAGACACGGUCCAGACUCCUACGGGAGGCAGCAGUAGGGAAUCUUCCGCAAUGGGCGAAAGCCUGACGGAGCAACGCCGCGUGAGUGAUGAAGGUCUUCGGAUCGUAAAACUCUGUUAUUAGGGAAGAACAUAUGUGUAAGUAACUGUGCACAUCUUGACGGUACCUAAUCAGAAAGCCACGGCUAACUACGUG
rnacentral:rRNA from 1 species